GUGCGUCCGAUGAGGCUUGUUGGUUAUGUAAUGGCUGACCAAGGCGAUGAUCGGUAGCUGGUCUGAGAGGAUGAUCAGCCACACUGGGAUUGAGACACGGCCCAGACUCCUACGGGAGGCAGCAGUGGGGAAUAUUGGACAAUGGGCGCAAGCCUGAUCCAGCAAUUCCGCGUGGGUGAAGAAGGUCUUCGGAUUGUAAAGCCCUUUCGGCGGGGACGAUGAUGACGGUACCCGCAGAAGAAGCCCCGGCUAACUUCGUGCCAGCAGCCGCGGUAAUACGAAGGGGGCUAGCGUUGCUCGGAAUGACUGGGCGUAAAGGGCGCGUAGGCGGCACGAACAGUCAGGCGUGAAAUUCCUGGGCUUAACCUGGGGGCUGCGUUUGAUACGUUCGAGCUAGAGGAUGGAAGAGGCUCGUGGAAUUCCCAGUGUAGAGGUGAAAUUCGUAGAUAUUGGGAAGAACACCGGUGGCGAAGGCGGCGAGCUGGUCCAUUACUGACGCUGAGGCGCGAAAGCGUGGGGAGCAAACAGGAUUAGAUACCCUGGUAGUCCACGCUGUAAACGAUGUGCGCUGGAUGUUGGGGAGCUUAGCUUCUCAGUGUCGUAGCUAACGCGAUAAGCGCACCGCCU
rnacentral:rRNA from 1 species